GAUUAACGCUAGCGGCAGGCAUAAUACAUGCAAGUUGAACGGCAGCACAGGUAGCAAUACUGGGUGGCGAGUGGCGCACGGGUGCGUAACACGUAUGCAACCUACCCUAUACAGGCGAAUAACCUUUAGAAAUGAGGGCUAAUACGCCGUAGUAUUACAGAUGGGCAUCUAUUUGUAAUUAAAGAUUUAUCGGUAUAGGAUGGGCAUGCGUCCCAUUAGUUAGUUGGUAAGGUAACGGCUUACCAAGACGAUGAUGGGUAGGGGAUCUGAGAGGACUUACCCCCACACUGGUACUGAGACACGGACCAGACUCCUACGGGAGGCAGCAGUAAGGAACAUUGGGCAAUGGCCGCGAGGCUGACCCAGCCAUGCCGCGUGCAGGAAGACGGCCUUAUGGGUUGUAAACUGCUUUUAUACGGGAAUAAUAGUGUGUACGCGUACAUUUAUGCAAGUAUCGUAUGAAUAAGCAUCGGCUAACUCCGUG
rnacentral:rRNA from 1 species